rnacentral:rRNA from 1 species
AUUGAACGCUGGCGGCAUGCCUUACACAUGCAAGUCGAACGGUAACAGGGAGCUUGCUCCGCUGACGAGUGGCGAACGGGUGAGUAAUGCGUCGGAACGUGCCGAGUAGUGGGGGAUAACGCAUCGAAAGGUGUGCUAAUACCGCAUACGUACUGAGGUAGAAAGUGGGGGACCUUCGGGCCUCACGCUAUUCGAGCGGCCGACGUCUGAUUAGCUAGUUGGUGAGGUAAAGGCUCACCAAGGCGACGAUCAGUAGCGGGUCUGAGAGGAUGAUCCGCCACACUGGGACUGAGACACGGCCCAGACUCCUACGGGAGGCAGCAGUGGGGAAUUUAGGACAAUGGGCGCAAGCCUGAUCCAGCCAUGCCGCGUGUCUGAAGAAGGCCUUCGGGUUGUAAAGGACUUUUGUCCGGGAGCAAAUGCCUGGUGUUAAUAGCACUGGGAGCUGAGAGUACCGGAAGAAUAAGCACCGGCUAACUACGUGCCAGCCGCCGCAGUAAGAC